AUGCCCCUUCCAGUCCAGAGGUCGAUGCUCUUUCCAGUCCAGAGGUCGACGUGCUUUCCAGUCCAGAGGUCGACGCUCUUUCCAGUCCAGAGGUCGACGCUCCUUCGUGUCCAGAGGUCGACGCUCCUUCGUGUCCAGAGGUCGACACUCCCUCGUGUCCAGAGGUCGACGCUCCCUCGUGUCCAGAGGUCGACGCUCCCUCAUGUCAAGAGGUCGACAUCCCCUCCAGUCCAGAGGUCGACGGUCCCUCCAGUCCAGAGGUCGACGUCCCCUCCAGUCCAGAGGUCGACGUCCCCUCCAGUCCAGAGGUCGACGUCCCCUCCAGUCCAGAGGUCGACGUCCCCUCCAGUCCAGAGGUCGGCGUCACCUCCAGUCCAGAGGUCGACGUCCCCUCCAGUCCAAUGGUCAACACCGUCCCCUCCAGUCCAAUGGUCGACGCCAUCCCCUCCAGUCCAACGUCGAUGCCGUCUCCAGUCCCGUGGUCGACGCCGUCUCCAGUCCCAUGGUCGACGCCGUCUCCAGCCCAGUGGUCGACGCCAUCCCCUCCAGUCCAACGUCGAUGCCGUCUCCAGUCCCGUGGUCGACGCCGUCUCCAGUCCCGUGGUCGACGCCGUCUCCAGUCCCGUGGUCGACGCCGUCUCCAGCCCAGUGGUUGACGCCGUCUCCAGCCCAGUGGUCGACGCCGUCUCCAGUCCAGUGGUCCACGCCGUCUCCAGUCCCGUGGCUGACGCCGUCUCCAGUCCUGUGGUCGACAAUGCCAUCUCCAGCCCAGUGGUCGACGCCGUCUCCAGUCCAGUGGUCCACGCCGUCUCCAGUCCCGUGGCUGACGCCGUCUCCAGUCCUGUGGUCGACGACGCCGUCUCCAGCCCAGUGGUCGACGACGCCAUCUCCAGCCCAGUGGUCGACGCCGCCGCCUCCGGCCCAGAGGCCGACCCCGCCGCCUCCAGCCCAGAGGUCGCCGCCGCCGCCUCCAGCCCAGAGGUCGUCGACGCCGCCUCCAGUCCAGAAGUCAAGGACGUCUCCUCCGGCAUCUAUGCCUCCGGUCACUGCCAGUCCUGCCCUCAUCAGACGCAGGCCCACAAGAGCCCGUCGGCGCCUCCUCCUCUGCCACAGAUGCAGGCCCCCCAGAGCCCGCCGUCGCCUCCUCCUCUGCCACAGAUGCAGGACCCCAAGAGCCCGUUGUCACCUCCUCCUCUGCCACAGACACAGGCCCCCCAGAGCCCAUCAUCGCCUCCUCCUCUGCCCCAGACGCAGGCCCCCGGACUCUACCUGUCCCUGCCUCCUCUCCAUCAGUCCCUCAGUCCCUCUUGGCCCUCCCUCUGGGUCCCCUUUCUCCCGCCCUGCUUUGUGUUUCUGUGGGCGUCUGGAAUCCGCCCUUUGAGGGGAGGGGGUACUGUCACACCCUGUCCUAUCUCCCCAUUCUGUUCAGCCUUGUGUCUCUGUUAA
rnacentral:lncRNA from 1 species